ensembl:lncRNA
GGAAAAAGAAAUAAGAACGGAAACAUUCCAAUUAAAGCAUUGGCGGAGAGUGACGGUGACGUUAUACUAAAUUAGCAAACUGAUAUUACAUAGUUAAGCAAAAGUUAAUACAAGAGAGUGUGAGUGAAGAGAAUAGCGCAGCGGAUUCUUAUCUGGUGUGCGGUCAAUACAGCCAUGGAGUGAUGCGGGGUCGCGGUAGAGCUGUCCGUCCACGUAGAGCCGGUCCAUGGCGAUGACAGCCCGGAGCCUUUCUGAAUAAAACUACGUCGGACUGGGAACAGGACCCUGCGUCGUUCCAGGAUCUCUCUGGGGAACUGGUCGUUCACGCUGAAGUCCGUUCCUUUCAGCUCUCUGCCGCGACUCUUCACCUGCUCCUUCUGCUUAAAGUGGCCGAAUUUGGCCACAAUAGGACGCGGUCUCCCGCUUCCUGUCUUCGGAGCCCCGAUGCGAUGCACUCUUUCAAACCCUGUUUUUCACCGUGUCCUCCGGCAGCUUCAGGUGGAUUUUAAUGAAGCUUCUCACGGUCGUUUCCGGGUCCUCUCCGGCAGACUCUGGAAUACCAGAAAACACAAGAUUAUCUCUCAUGCUACGGGCUUGUAAAUCCAUAACGGUCUCUUUUAUUUUUUUAUUUUCUAUGUUUAAUUGGGUCACAUUUUCGGUUAGAGAUUUGACCGAGUCCCGUAGCGUGGCGUUUUCUGCAGCAAGUGUUUCCACCUGCUUCUGGCUGAACUCCAGGGAUUCUUUUAGAGAUUGAAAUUCCCGGUGUAAGAUCUCCACCAGGGACAGCCUCGCAUCAAAACUGGACAAUCGCUUAUCGAUUGACUCCAGGAUGUCGACGAUAUCUUUGCCGGCAGGCGAUGUUGUGCCGGGGGAGUCUGCGGGGCGAUAUCUUUUAGAUGAUGGCGUCUCAGUUUUGGCCGGGGAAGACAUGCUCUGGGCCUUCUUCAUUACUAAAUCUUCGAAGCACCGGUCGAUGUAUUCUUGGAGAGCGUCUAAACUCUCCUCGUUGUUCUCCAGGGUGUUAGAGAUGAUAGGACAGAUGUUGUUAGUUAUAUGACAGUUGGUUAGUUUAUUUGACAAUACUGAAGAUUAAAGAAACUUUGUUAAAUUCUAGGCUACCAUUCGUUUGUUUUGUUUUUUUCCGCCAAAUCUCCGGCGUCUGACGUCACCUACAACAUGGGUCCUUACCUUACCGCCGUCACUUACCUCUCACUCCGUUUUUGCAUAUACGUGUGGACGAGGAAAACGGAGAAAACGCAGCGUCAAAGCGUGAAAUCAGGGAACAGUUAUUUACAAAUGACUUUCCCGCAAUGAAGACAUCCCACCACCACCAGCAGCGCCACCAUCGCCACAGUGAACACAGUCCGUGAGAUGAGGUAAAUACGGCAGACGAGUGGUCUCUCUGAGUCUCUGUGUGAUCGGCUGCAGAGAUGGUCACAUGUAUGAGACACAGCUGACUUUAAGUGUAUUUAAAGCAUUUUUAAAAAAUAUAUAAUUUGGUGAUUAAAAUAUUAUCACAUACUACAUUUCUGUUGAAUAGCUAAAAUGGGCUGGCCUUCGUCACCUUGGUUAAUUAUUGAUUAUGUGAUUAUUAACCUGUAUAUAUCACCAAUAUUAACCUCUCAUCUCAUGCUGAGUGUCUAAGAAAGCAUCUUUUUCUCAGCUCACGUGAACUGAAAACAGGACAAUGACCAAUAUUUAUUUAGUGGCUUAUUGAUUUAAAGGUCUGAACGAAUAACUGGGAAACUUUUGUCACUUUACUAUCAUCUGUUACUGCCUUUAUAAAUGAGAUACAAGUCUGAGUCAAGUCAAGUAUACUUGAGUUUAAACUCCUCAGUGUGACAGUGACUGUGACCAGUGUAACCUGUUUUAGUAAUCGAAAUUAGCAAUAUUGUGGAAAUACUUCAGAAUAGUUCAAAAAUGGUACCAAUAAAUAGACAGCAGCUUUUCUUAGUGCAGGAAAAAUAAUCAUUUAUAUCACACUUGUAUGUAUCUUAUUUGAAACGUUGCUGUUUCUCACCUGUGACACAUGGCAGAGAGACAGACAGCCAGCUCUCUGGUGAUUCUCCACCUCCUGAGAUCUUGCACGUGUAAAGUUCUUAAUCAGACUUGUAAACUCUGUGGAUGGUCAUGUUUCCUGUUGAGCUGUUCCCUAUGUGAUGCCCAUAUUUAUAGAAAUCAGCUGCAAUAUUGGAGGAAAUCAUCUUGUUUCUGCAGAGCAGCGUCACAUCUUCUCCCUCCAGGAUCACAGAACCAGCUGAAUGACAUGAGAUGAGCUUUAUUUGCUAUGAAAUUCAUUUAAAACAAUCAUGAAGUAACUUUUGUCUUGAUUCAAACAUACCAGUGACAGAGAUGUUGACACUGUUGCCUUUCCUCCCUCCUUCAAUCUCACACCAGUGCUCUCCACCAUCGUCCAAAUAAAGACUUGUCAUAAUGCACAACGACUUCACACUUUUUUGACUACAGCACUGGACCUCCCUAACUCUCCAAAAGUUGAUUCUGUUCAUCUGGACGUAGCGUUUUGUGGGAGAAACGUUUCAUCACUCAUCGAAGUGACUUCUUCAGUCUGAAGAAGUCACUUGCCUUGUGUCUGCUCCCUCCUGGAAUCAGAAAGACAGACAAAAACAAAACCCAUCUCCCUGCCUGUACUUGAUCAUUUUACUAUUACUCAUUCUAAUAUCUAGCUCAGGACAUUCUGUUUGGACUGAAUGACAAAAAGUUUUGUCAUAACUUACAGCAACAAAGGGGUAAGGUAACAAAAUUAUUUUUUCAAGCAUAAAUUUUGGGUCACCAGUUUGGUUCAACUGCAUAUUUUAAUUUGUUGCUAUUUCUUAAAAAGAAAAUAUAUACAAUUUAAAUAAUCUACAUUUACUUCAUAUCUUUGUUGUCACUUUGUAGAUUAAUCUCACAAAAUACGUUUGACUAAUAAAAUAUUUUACAGUGUUGUGCUUAACUCCCUAAAUUACCUGCCGAGGCUUCACUCAUUCAUUGUUAUGACCCCACUUUGACCUUUGAAAAAAAGGUUUCUAAUUUUGCAUAUGACGGACAUGAGGUGGUUGUGGCAUUAGUAGAAAACUUUAACAGACCUUUAUAGCCUGUUAAACAGAAGUUUACUUUUAGAAGUUAAAUAGAAGUAUUUAAGGAAGCUAAGCCCAGAGGAG